rnacentral:tRNA from 1 species
CCACCCGUAGCUCAGUGGAUAGAGCAAGCGGUUCCUAACCGCUAGGUCGCAGGUUCGAUCCCUGCCGGGUGGA